rnacentral:ncRNA from 1 species
CUUAAUUUGACUCAAAAUGGGAAACCUCACCUGGUCCAGACACGAACAGGCUUGACAAAUUGAUAGUCCUUUCUCGAGUCCGUGGGUGGUGGUGCAUGGCCAUUCUUAGUUGGUGGAAUGCUUUUUUAUAUAAAAACAUGUGAAAUACAUUUAUAAACUUUGUCUAUGCUAAUUCAUACAUAUACAGGCAUGCCAAAAUUGAAUGUCAGUGUCCCUUCAAAAUUCCUAUGUUGUGUCUAUGCUAAUUCAUACAUAUACAGGCAUGCCAAAACUGAAUGUCAGUGUCCCUUCAAAAUUCCUAUGUUG